rnacentral:rRNA from 1 species
UGGGGAAUCUUGGACAAUGGGGGCAACCCUGAUCCAGCCAUGCCGCGUGAGUGAUGAAGGCCUUAGGGUCGUAAAGCUCUUUCGCCUGUGAAGAUAAUGACGGUAGCAGGUAAAGAAACCCCGGCUAACUUCGUGCCAGCAGCCGCGGUAAUACGAAGGGGGCUAGCGUUGUUCGGAAUUACUGGGCGUAAAGGGCGUGUAGGCGGAUGAUCAAGCUAGGGGUGAAAGCCCAGGGCCCAACCCUGGAACUGCCUUUAGAACUGAUUGUCUAGAAUCCGUAAGGGGAGUGUGGAAUUCCUAGUGUAGAGGUGAAAUUCGUAGAUAUUAGGAAGAACACCAGUGGCGAAGGCGGCACUCUGGUACGGUAUUGACGCUGAGGCGCGAAAGCGUGGGGAGCAAACAGG